CUGCAGGGCCCGGCUCCUGCCCGCGCCCGUCUCCGCCCCCGGGCAGGCAGCCUGCGACAGGAUGAGAGGGACAGUCUUAAACUGCGCCUGGGGAAGGUUAGGUUGGACAUUAGGAAGAACUUCUUCACAGAGAAGACUGAGUAGAUACUGGAACAGGCUUCCCAGGGAUGUGGUGGAGUCACCGUCCCUGGAGGUGUUUAGGGAAAUACUGGACGUGGCACUCAGUGCUGUGGUCCAGUUGACAGGGUGGUGUUCGGUCACAGGUCGGAUUCAGUGAUCUUGGAGCUCUUUUCCAACCUAAUUGAUUCCCUAAUCUGCUCCCGCGGGGCAAGGCCCAGCAGCAAGCGGCCCCGGCGCCCUCUCCCUCAGCCGCCGGCCCGGCCCGAAGCCCGCGUUCCCAAGCGAGAGGCCGCACGGGGUAUUUAUUUAAGGAGAUUUCACCCAGGAGCUGCUGAUCAAAGCUAAUGCAAAAUAAAUGUCUCCCUUUAAUAGCCUGAUUCCUCGAAGCCCUUGACACUGGAAAUUGGGAUUUCCCCGUGCCAUUAGCACUUAGCAGUAGGCGCUCCAGCCCAGCCAAGAACAAGGGAUUAAGAGGCAUUUGUCUCAACUAAUUUCUCUCUCUAUACCAAGUCUAUAGAGACUGGUGUUACUCUGCUGGAAUUGUGCAACACGGCUAAUUGGCUACAAAUUUAACAGUGGCAGGGCUCCCACCGCAAGGCUGCCGUGUAUUCAUUACCGCCGUUCUCCCUCAAACGCGCCGGCACCUGGGCUGCCCCUGCCCUGGGAAAUGACCGCCUUGGCAUGGGCCGGCUCCUGGCUCUGGGGAAGGUGAGACUUCUGUCUUGCCUCCCCGGGGAGCUAGGCUGCCUUGUGGAAAACACAGCCAAACAAUUAAAAUCGUCAUUAUCCUAGAAAAGGGAUAGAUGUAGUGCAGGGUCAGCAAAAUUUUAUUUUUGUGAACUAUCAUUCAGGGUGGAUGUUGACUUUUUUGCACAGAUAUUAUACCACUAGUCACCUCCCUUCCAAAAACGGGGGACAAAAACCUGUCAUAUUUGGCUGUGAUUAUUUGAAAUUCCUUCCUCCAGGCUGUUUUGCACCUUGACUCCACUGUUUGCUUCUUUAUUGCUUGACCACAAGCUAAAGCAAAAGGUAGUUGAGUUUAUAUUAUGCAUGCAUCUGACCAAGGGGUCAUUAAGGGUACACAGAUUUUUGUUUUAUUUGUAUGUCAGUCAAAAAGGGUUCCUAGAAUAGUCUGGAACUAAGAAAGAAAUUCUAGGAAAGCCCACAGCCUACAUCACUGCUGCUGGAGAAUGAUUCCAUGACAACCAGGACUUUAUUCGUCUACCCCAAACUCCACCCCCUUACCCACAGUAGCACCAGACUUGCUUGUCUUAGGAGGGGAGGCAAAAUUCUCUCAGCAGGACUAUUUAGUUGGCCAAAAUGAACUUCUCCACUCCCAGAGGUGCUGAUUGAAAUCUGAAUGGCCAUAUGAGUCAGUCAGGACCUCAAUAACCUAGUCUUUCAGAGCUAACUUCAUGAGAUGAACCACUGCAUCACUGUUGCCUUGAACAGAAAGGUCAUCCUGAAGUUUUGAUUUAUCCACCUCAGCUGCCCAGGAGCCCAGGGAACUGGCAAAUAAAAAAACCAGUAAAACAGUAGUUUCCCAACACCAGUUCAGAUAAUGUUUUAAGACACUAGAUUCACAAACCAGUUUGUGUUUCUGCCUGAGUAAUUUUACUUCUCGUCAUUCAAGUUCAAGGGUGAAACUCAAGGUCUGUGGUUUGUCUGUUGAGUUCAGUGUCUUAUAAUACCUAUUCCAUAUGGUUAUGAAACUCCAGCCUCAUCCAGCCAGGCCGAACUAUCAGGACACUAUUGCAAAAGUAGCUGUUUAAAAAACACUGCAACACUGUUGAAUCUUGGCAUGUGCUGCUGUGCACAGUUAGCCUAUGCUGAUAAAAGUCCAUGAAAAUUCACAGAAUGAAAGUCCAUCUUUAGUGAGAUGGAUGGGAAACACCCAGAACUUCAGCAGAAACAGAGUUUUACUGAAGAAAGACAGAUUUCCAGCCACUCAUUGAGUUGAUCCAAACAGACACAGGAACCAAAGCCAGGCUGGCAACGUUUGCCCCCCCUCUUCCUUAUGUACACCCCAAUGAGAAGUUAACAAGUGGUGUCUGUUGAUGUGGAACACACUAUUAUCCUGCAACACAAAGAUAGCAUCAAUUUUAAUCCCAGUCUACAAGGUAACAAUAAACUGCUGGCUAAGAAUCAAACUAAUAAUAUCAGUCCGUGCACACACAGAAACAAUUCUGUUAAAAAUCUAACAUCCUAGGUGUUGUUAAUCAAACUGUUCAAGGUAGGCCUCUUUUAUGGACUUAACCAAAGUGUUUUCUGAGAUGUGCAUAGAGAAUACCACAAUUCAGAAAGAACACCUUCAUUAUGAGGUAACAAUGGGAUGCAGAAGGCAUAAAAUACGAUGAUGAUUCAAGAUGUUCCACUUCUGUACAAGAUGUAACUAAAAUAUCAUCAUGGCUUGUCAGGAGCAGAGGUUGUCUGCUGAGGCAGGAUGGAGAGGAGAACUGGAGGCACAAAAAGGUGAAGAUCACAGGUUGAGGUAAGAACAAUUUACUAGAAACAACAACGAAAUAAGAAAACUAACAGUGAUAACAACAAUAGUAACAAGAAUGUUCAAGAUAGGUGAACGAUUCACAUUUGAUUGUGCAAGGACUCACCUCUGAUUGCUCAAGGAACAGUGCCCCUCCUGGGUGCUGUAAAAAUUAACCCUGUCCUGGCCAGAACCAGGACAGGGCAAAGAAAUGAAAGACUCAUACCAGUCAAUGAUGAACACUCCAGAGUCAGUGCAACAUGAAACCAGCAUGUCCAUAUAUGCUGUUUAUUAGCACAUAUGUGUUUAAGGUUCUGUUCUCUAUAAAGUGGCAGUCAAGAACUGAACAGCUAUGGGUUUGGAAAAUUUUUUCCUACCAGGAAAUACAUUUUGUAUGAACAUUGUAUGGAUCCUUUUGCAAAAAGAAAUCCCAAAGAGACUUAGCAGCAUCUUUGCAAAAAACAGGUCCAAAGUCUUUUAAUUUUUAAACAUAAUAAAUUUUCCUUUGUUCAGACAGGUGAGUCUCUCUGAAACAACUAUUUACAGUCCUAUUUAGGAAGUUAUAGAUUUUGAUAAACUUCCAGAACACUAGAAAACAAUCCAGACUGAACACAAGUUUUUGACAUUACACUUGGGAAAUGACUACCUUUGCAAACAUUAACAUCUCCAUGCCUAAGCCUUCAGUUCCAACAGUCCUGUACGUUCAUGCAUGGAAAAACCUAUAAGAAUACUGACAUGCCAGAAUGUUCGCAGGAUCACUGCCUGUGAAAGGUUAUUCACAGACACAGUUUCAGGCAAAAUCACACCCUCAGAGUUAUUACAACUCUGCCAAAGCCAUGGAAAGCAAACUGUUUUCUACUGUGUGAGGAACAAUAGAACUAUUCUGGACAAGAUUUAUUCUGAAAAGUAGACAUUGAGGAUAGUCAUAAUUUUCUUUUCAGGGCCCCAAAAGCUGCUGUGCCUGACCAUGAAGGUUGCCACAGGGCAUAUCAACCAGAAAAGCUAAAGGCAGAAAAAUCAGAAACUGAAAGUGAAAGCACAAGCUUUCCCUUCUGUACACCCCACUCCACACACUCCCAUGGAUUGUUUCCUUUGCCAUGUUUCCUUUUCCACAGAAGACUGAAAAAUGAAUCCUGGAAUCAUUGGACUUACAAGCUAGCAAAAGCACUUGAUGCUGCAUUGCAGCCACAGAGGAUUCCAAAGCAGACAUGUGUUCUAUGUCCUGGGCAGUGAUUGUGCUUCUGGGCUGCAGAACCCUCUGUGAAGGUCUGUAGGGAGGGAACACGCCUGGGGGUGGGGCAUCACACACUGGUUAUCACUGAUUUUUCCCCAGCAAUGAUGAUAGCUCCACAGCACCUCAACAUCCAGUGAUGAAGACUUUGUUUUCCCCUUCUGGGAAUUACCAGCCAGAGGGAUGUGGACCCAAAUCACCAGCUGCACUCCAAGGUGUCAGAGACCUGAGAGCAAGCACCUCCCUAGGCACUGCAGACUUACCCCCUGCCUUCUCUGACAGCCUAAAGCAAGGAGUGCACUGCCCCAUACCCACUUGAAGGAGCAAGACUCAAAAAUAAAAAAAUACCAGAUCACCAUGGACCUACAUUAAAAAUGCCUCUCUCACACAUGCUAUGCCAUUCAUAGGUUUGUCAUACUGUGUGGGUGACCAU